UACAGAGGUCUCAAGCGUUGUUCGGAUUCAUUGGGCGUAAAGAGCUUGUAGGCGGUUUGUCGCGUCUGCUGUGAAAUUUCGGGGCUCAACCCCGAACUUGCAGUGGGUACGGGCAGACUAGAGUGUGGUAGGGGAGACUGGAAUUCCUGGUGUAGCGGUGAAAUGCGCAGAUAUCAGGAGGAACACCGAUGGCGAAGGCAGGUCUCUGGGCCACUACUGACGCUGAGGAGCGAAAGCGUGGGGAGCGAACAGG
rnacentral:rRNA from 1 species